UCGUUUAAAACUUUUAUCUCUUCCAUUAUUCAGUGUUGUAGGAUAUUUUCCAACUGCACUUGAAAAUUAGGAAGCUGAAAAAAAACAAGAGCUCAAUUUAAAGGUUGUAAUUCAUACAAGUUACCAACAUUGAUAAGUGAUACUGCAUUAAUAUUUCUCUUUCUUUUGCUAGAAUAUCUCUUUUAUACAAAUUUAGGAAGAUCUUAGGACGAUUUUUUCUGAUGGAUUUUUCCUCCUUUAUUUAUGUUUCAGGUCAUGGUCUUCUUAUCAACGUCUGACUGUUGAAAAGAGUUCUUAUGUGGGUUCUGUUUUAAUGUCUUUAUGCUUGUGAAGUACACGGUGGAGGCGCACAUGGUUGAUGAUUAUGUUCUGGGUUGGCCAUAGAGAGGGAGGCCGAAGCAAACUCCAUCAGGUUUCAGAUAGCUACUUCAAGUUAGGCGGAGAAAUAAAAAGGGUGACCAU